UUAAUGUGGAUGUGAAGAGGUAGACCCUAUCUUAGCCUAAUUUUUUUGUAGUUACUAGUAUGUGCUAGGAUAGCUUAAUUGCUGAUUUUCUAAGUAGGCCUAAGAGUUUAUAGGGCUCCUUGUUUUUGUUGUGUUAAAUAAACCCCAGAAAAGGCCACAUUCCAUCUUCGAUGGUAAAUCAGGUGAGACAUAUGGGUAAGGAACUGUAGCACAUUUCCGGGGAAAUCGAGAAGGGAUUCACCGAUUUGGAGCGGAAGUGUUGUCAGAAUAAAGCGGAAGUGGUGAACAAGGAUGACGCGAAACCGGGAACAAGCGGGUCUAGUGGGUUUCAUGAAAAUGAUGACCACUCGACCACCGAGGACGAGAGAAAGAAGAAGAAGAAUCAGAAACGUAACGAACAAAGACAACACAAAACCGAGAUAGAGAAACGCAAGGGUUACGCCGAAGACGCCUCAAAGGAGAACUACAGCAUGUGGGGACCACCAACCGAUCAAACCGGAGACGGUCGUACCAGUUUGAAUGAAAAAUUCGGUUAUUAAUUAAAGAAACAACAAAAUCAAGUUUAUUAAUAUUUUAUUAUUAUUAUUAUUUAAUGUCCACUUAACUAUAAAGAUUCAAAGCGUUCUAUUCCUAACAGUCUAUUGGAUACAAUAAAUGGUACUUACUAAAUAUCA